AUGUGGCACUAUUUCCUGCUUCAGUUUAGAAACGACAAUAAGCUUAUUAAAGUUCUUCCUCUAAUAGAGAAAUAACGUGAACCUUUAUUAGACGCAUAGGUCGAACACUAUGAAGUUAUUUUUAAAUUUGCACGCAUUUUGCAUCGUUUUCAUAUUAAUAUGCAGCAUCUUGGAAAUCUAUGGCAAAGGAGGUUCAAGUAUGAGAAGAGGUGCUCUGGUGGUAAGACGUCAGAAACCAAGCAGCAAUAAGAAAAUAGGACCAGAGCCAAGCAAUAACGGCCGAUCUACCAACACCAAGUCAGCCAUCGUCACUAAUCUAUCAACCGGUUCUAAGAGCAAAACCAAAAGGAAGGGUUCAAGAAAAAAUGAUUUUAAGAGUAAGAAACUUACUACCAUCUUACCUCAACAUCUCAAAACUGGCAGUGAGAUGAAAGAACAGGAGAGAUUCGCGAAGAUAUAAGUUGACUUGAAUUUGACACUUUCAGUGGCAUCCAUUUUGAAUCCUCUAAACUUGUUAUAAAUAAAACUUCGAAACAAACUUUUAAAAAAGUUCUUCUAAACUUCUCAGUUGAUUAAAAUUCUAGUAGUUAUAUCUUAUUUUUAAUGAAGUUUUCAAGUAACUUGCAUUAACAAAAAAGUGAAAAACGUAAUGUCAAAUAAUGUGGGAAUAUUUCUUUUAAAUAUAUUAUUUAUUUUAUAUUUGAAAUAUGUAUUCAAUUGUUAAAGAGUUGUUGCAGAUUUUAGUUAUAACUGGUAUCUCCAAAUUAAGGUUGACGGACCGAAACAGCGACAGAUAUAUGGCCCAAAAAAGCAGUGCUGGCUUGUCAUGUAUCCGGUUUCGAUGCAUAUUCAAAUUAUUUCUUUAAAAAUAAUAAUAAUAAUUAAAAAUACACUAUAAUAAAUAAUAUCAACAUUUUAACUCUAAUAAAUUGGAUAAAGUUCUUUUUAAAUGUUUGAUGAGAGAAGUACUCUCAUACCAAAUGAACGUACCGUAGAUACAUCACCCUCCAGCUAAAUUUGAGAAGGUACUACAGCAUUUUGAUAUGAAAAGAUAUG